ensembl:lncRNA
ACUGCAGACGGCUGUUUGGAGAUGCCCCACAAAAGCCUGCUGUCUGUGAAGGAGGGUGGUCACAAGCAACCCAUCCACCUUAUAAUUCUGUGGCCUUGGUAGUUGUUUUUCUUCCUGUAAUCUCUCUAGUUCUUUUGAUAAGCAGAUGGUCUUUGUCUUAUAAACAACUGGUCGCCACAUGAGGAGCUGCAGACAAAGCUAGGUAUGGAAGGUUAUUGCUAAAUGCGGUAAAAGUCUUACUAGGAUAGGAGCCAAAUCAAUCUGCAUAUGAGAAGCCACAGCUGGAUCACUGGGUUUUGAAUAAAUGAGAAUUAGCCUAAUUCAUUGCAAUUUUUUUUUUUUUUUCCUCAGAAGCAACAGAUUUAAAAGCCCUAGUCCGAAUGUAUAAAACAAAACACCAGAAGUGCUGUACAUCCUACAGGUACUUCACUGCAUGGUAUCGGGCCUUGUGUGCACAGACAGGCUCCAGCCUCCUUCCCUUCGUUCUGCCUGCUGCUCCUAAAGGUCACUUUGAUAUGGUGGAGUUGUGUAACGUGGGAUCAGGCCACUUUGAAGAGCAAAGUGUGACAGAGCCACAAACUGCUCUCUGGGGCCUCUUACCCCAGGCCCAGGCCCUUGCUAUCAGUCCUUGCCCUAGUCGCCUCGCAGAUAUGCAAGUGCCUGGUUGUAUGCUUUGCUGAUCCCAUCCUUGCCUUGCUGAUUUGGCAUGCCAGCUUGAAGGCUUCAUUGUCUGGAGAUCACCAGACUCUGCCUGGUCUCUGCCAUCAGAGCUGCUCCAUGGCUGCGGACAUGCUGGGACUGCAGCUUGUAUCAGCCUUUGCUGAAUGUUUAUGGAGACCAAACACUGGAUGUCAGCACAGUGAGGUGGUGGUUGGUGUGCUUCAACAGUGACAACAGUGGGUCACUUCUGAUUUUUAUGAGCAUGGAAGGCAGGCUCUCAUUCAUCACUGAUGGAAAUGCAUAGCUAAUGAUGGUGGUCUACAUCCUCCGUGUGCAGAGUCAGCACUGCAGUACCGUGUAUUCCCCUGUCCAGAAAGGCAAGUGCAGUCCCAACUGUGUAGAAGAACAGCAGUAAAGAAGUAACUGACAUCCUAGAAUUCAUAUUCAGGAAAUAAGUAGCCAAGUAACUAAGAAACAAACUGACAAGCUGACAUAGAACUAAGUAAUUCCCCCUAACAAAUUCUUUAGGAUCACAGAGUAGAGGAUGUCUCUGUUUCUAGCUCAUGCAGGUGAUUCUGUAGUCUUGGCUGGAUGCUCAUCCUCUUACUCCUUUUGUGCAUCCUACACCAGAAGGAGUAACACAAAGCAUACAGUUACAGGUGGACGUGCUAAAACAUGUCCAAGUUGCUGCAGGUAAGACACAAGCAGAGUGAAAAAAAAUCUUUUUAUCUAUCAUUCACUGGAAAUAUAGGGCUCUUUUCUCCUUCAGACAGUACUGAGAGGUAAACUAUGAUUAUCCCAUACAAUGGGUUUUUGUUUUCUCACAGACUCCUUGCACACUGCCAAUCCUUGGUAGUGCAAAACUAACCUAACAUUUCUCAUUUUUGCUGUUUCCACUGAAUGGUUUACUCAAAUCCUACCAGACUGGUACUUCCAUCCUAAGUGCUUACAACAGAACAACAUUUUCCUCCUGAUUUAAAAUCUCCCUCAGUUUUGCUGCACCAUGUCUCCUUUUUAUUUUUAAAAGAAACUUGAAGUGACUGUUUUCCCAGAUUUUCCCUUUCAGUUUAGCCACCUCUAACCUUUCUUUCAAAGCUUUAUUGUAGCGUUCAGUCCUUCGUUAGCCUAGAGGAUAGUGUGCUGAUUGUUGCGUAUGUACAAUGCCUCCUCUUUUCCCCAGGAAAAAUAUUGAAAUUGUAAAGAUAUGAAUUGUCAUAUGUUACUGGACAUUAGUUUUCUGAGCUUCUUUUUCUGCUGAAAACAAUAAACAGAAAGUCAUGACCAAAGUAGACAGACCCAAUAGAGGCUACUUUUACUUCUGGCCAUUUACUGAAAAAUCUAUUAGCUUGACACUGCCACAAUAGUAAAUGGGUCUAUAAUGUUCAUUGUAAGCUUUUUCUACAUUUACUUAAAUAAGAAGAUAGGGUGAGGUAGGCCUGGAAAACUCACUUUGUUUUGUCAUGUGAUAAAAACUUUCAGAGUAGCCUGAGUAUUCACUCUGUCUACUGAUGGAGAAGCUAUAAUCACUGUUAUGACAACCCACUGAUGUGUGUCAUGAGCAACGUGUAUUGAUUCUGCCUAUAAUUCUUCCAGAAUAAUAGAUCUGUGAGUUGUUCCCAUGUCUUGCAGAGAAAGUUCACUCUAGUUCAAAAUAGAACAGGGAUGAAUUAGAUUUGUUAUGAUUAUUAGUCUAUUUUGCUGUCAGGACGCCAUGUAAUUUCUGUUGAACAAGACAAACUAAACAAGUAGAUUUAUAUUAUUUUUCUAAAACUGCAGCAAAUACAUAUCUGAUUUCUUCAUCAGUUUCCAUAGUAGAAGACUGUACCCGUGAGUAUUUAGAGUAUUUGG